rnacentral:rRNA from 1 species
ACCAGACUCCUACGGGAGGCAGCAGUGAGGAAUAUUGGUCAAUGGGCGGGAGCCUGAACCAGCCAAGUCGCGUGAGGGAAGACGGUCCUACGGAUUGUAAACCUCUUUUGCCGGGGAGCAACGGGGUCCUUGCGAGGGCCCGAUGAGAGUACCCGGAGAAAAAGCAUCGGCUAACUCCGUGCCAGCAGCCGCGGUAAUACGGAGGAUGCGAGCGUUAUCCGGAUUUAUUGGGUUUAAAGGGUGCGUAGGCGGGCUGUUAAGUCAGCGGUAAAAUUUCGGGGCUCAACCCCGUCGUGCCGUUGAAACUGGCGUUCUUGAGUGAGCGAGAAGUAUGCGGAAUGUGUGGUGUAGCGGUGAAAUGCAUAGAUAUUGCGCAGAACUCCGAUUGCGAAGGCAGCCUACCGGCUCCUGUCUGACGCUGAGGCACGAAAGCGUGGGUAUCGAACAGGAUUAGAUACCCCUGUAGAC